rnacentral:lncRNA from 1 species
UCAGGUACCAUCCGAAUCUGAUUGUAGCCUGCAAAGAUGUCCAUGAAGCUCAGAAAUCAGUGUCCAGAAGUUGCAUCAAUCAAUUGAUCAAUUUUCGACAGAGAAAACUGUCCUUCGAACAAGCUUCAUUCAGAUUCGUAUAGUCGAUGUAAAUCCUCCACUUCCUAUUGGCCUUUCUCAUCAUUACUACAUUGGCGAGUCAAUCAGGAUAAUUAGCUUUCCUGAUGUAGCCAGCUGCGAGGAGCUUGUCGACUUCUUCGUUGAUGAUCUUCUGCCUUUCAGGUGCAAAAGACUUUUUCUUUUGUCUCACCAGCUUAACUUUUGGAUCAAUGUUUAGUUGAUGGGUU